UUGAGAAAAACAAAAACAGAGAGGGGCGGUGGGAAGACUCUCCCUCCUUACAUAACAGUCUCUAGCAGAAAAAAAAUCUGCUCGUUUUACCACCACCAGCACCAUACUAGAAACCCGUCUGUCUGCUCUGCGCUCAACGCCACACCCUGUAGUACGACUCUGCUUGGAUUUUCAUCAUUUGGGAUGGUUUUGUUUGUUGGACAGAAAGGAGUCUCUUAGUGCUUUUAAUAAUGAAUGAUGCUCAUUAUACGCAUCAGAGUGUGCAAGUGAUAUGUAUGUGUAAUGCUUGCUUACAUUUUUAAUGCGCUGCACGCGUUUUAGGAUGACAGCAAGUAGUAGCUGGAGGAUAAAAUUAAUAUAUUUUGCAAGGCAUAUGUGCAAAGAACAUGUAGUAACAUUCAGCAGGGUCUUCGAGUUCGCGUAUGAUGCUCAUACCAACGGUGUAUGAAUUUUGACGCCGUUCUGCCUCCUUGUGGCUACACGAAAAACUUCAGGAAAUGGAAAAUAAUAGAUCAAUUGUUGUGUGAAGGUUUUAUCCUCCAUAUUUAAUGUCUUGCAAAUGACGAACAUAGCAAGCAGGAGCCUUGUGAUGUGCAUAACAUGCAAUGCUACGUGCAAGUUACAACAAUAAAGAAAUAAAAACAGGAUAAAGCAAUGGAAAAAGUUGAGAAUUAUUGAAGAACAAAAAAAACAAACUUUUUACUUUUUGGAUGGCUUGUUUGAACUGAACCAGACACAUAUAUCAACACGAACUACAGCAACGCCCGUAGCCAAGGAGAGUUCGGGUGGUUCGAAAGACCCCUCCCUGACAAAGGUCCAGAUUUUGUCCCAUAUAUGAGCUCAUUUGACACACUCUCCCAAUUCAAAACUAGAUUAAAGACCUAUCUGUUCAGUAAAGCAUACACUUAGUGCACCACUUAGGGGGCUUCCACACAGGUUAUGCAUCUUGCUGAUAUACACUGUGAACAUCAGCUACGCUAAUUAUUUUCUUUAUUCUCCAUUUCCACCUGGGGAUACUCUUCCCGAGGCCCUCAGACUAUGCAGAGUCACUGAUUCGAUCCAAGACCAACGACGAGAUGAUCCCAAGGUUUCCAUAUCCUGGACCAGGCCGAAUCCUGAGCAGCUACUGCGAUGGUCAUGGAAGAGUGGAGAACAUGAGACUGUUUCCUAUGACGCUCCAGAGACAGACGAGUCUUCGCUGAGGCCAGCUUCCAGCCUCCGCCACUGAGACUGCAGCUCUGCACAAGACGUUUGGCCAGCGGAGAAAUUAAAAUGGUCGUGCCCAACUGAGCCUGGUUUCUCUCAAGGUUUUUUUUCUUCACUUCCGCCUUUAGUGAAGUUUUUUUUCCCUCUCCGCUGUCGCCACUGGCUUGCAUGGUUCAGGAUCUGUAGAGCUGCGCAUCGUUGGAUUUGCUCUUCAAUAUUUGGACUCUCAGUAGUGAUUAUUAAACCACACUGAACUGAGCUAAACUGAACUGAACUUAAACACUACAAACUUAACUACACUGUUCCUAUUUACUGUGACCUUUUAUGUGAAGCUGCUUUGACACAAUCUACAUUGUAUAAGCGCUAUACAAAUAAAGGUG